rnacentral:rRNA from 1 species
GUCAAAUCUGCCCACUGAUUUUAUUAAAGGGCUGCAGUAAAUUGACUGUACAAAGGUAGCAUAAUAAAUAGUCUUUUAAUUGAAGACUUGUAUGAAAGAUUUAAUGAGAUAUAAUCUGUCUCUUUUUUAUAAUUUGAAUUUAAUUUUUUAGUAAAAAAGCUAAAAUUUAUUUAAAAGACGAGAAGACCCUAUAGAGUUUUAUAUUUAAUUUAAAUUAUAAUUUUUUAUUAAUAUUAAAUAAAAAUUAAAUUAAAUAUUUUAUUGGGGUGAUAAAAAAAUAAAAUUAACUUUUUUUAUAUUAGUAUAUAUAUAUAUAUUAGUAUAUAUAUAUAUAUAUAUAACAUGAAUUAAUGAAAGAAUGAUCCAUAAUUUAUGAUUAUAAGAAAAAAUUACCUUAGGGAUAACAGCGUAAUUUUUUUUUUUAGUUCAAAUAAAAAAAAAAGUUUGCGACCUCGAUGUUGGAUUAAGAUAAAAUUUAAAUGCAGAAGUU